GCAGAUUUGAUGCGAAAAAGUGUGCACCUGAUUGUUUUGGCGCUGUUCCUUUCUCUGUUCUGUUGCACUAUCUUAUUCCCUUAUUUUUAUUCAGAUUUUGGGAACAGUGCCCUGUCAGAUUUUCUAAUUGCUUCAGAGUUCAGAUUCAGGAUACUAAGAAAGGGUACUUAUGCUUUUAGAAUGAAGGCUUCAAUUCAGUUUCUCCUUUCAAGCUGAGACGUUACUCUAUGACGUCGUCUUGGUUGCCAUGAGUCGAAUACAGUUAAUCGAAGACAAAAUUUGCUUAUGUCAAGCUCUCAUCCAAACUUUUCACAUUUCACUUGGACUGUAACAGUAGCUUGGGCAGACAACGAAGUUAAUAGUACUUGCAUUAUUGAUGACCGUGUUUUAUUCUA